rnacentral:rRNA from 1 species
UACGGAGGGUGCAAACGUUGCUCGGAAUCAUUGGGCGUAAAGCGCACGCAGGCGGUCGCGCGCGUGGGGUGUGAAAUCUGGCCGCUUAACGGCCAGGCGCCAUCCCAUACGGCACGACUGGAGGGCUGCAGAGGUCGAUGGAAUUGCCGGUGUAGUGGUGAAAUGCGUAGAGAUCGGCAGGAACACCCAGGGGGAAACCAGUCGACUGGGCAGCACCUGACGCUGAGGUGCGAGAGCGUGGGGAGCGAACCGG